rnacentral:rRNA from 1 species
UGAACGCCAGCGACAGGCCUAACACAUGCAAGUCGAGGGGCAGCGGGAGUAGCAAUACCUUUGCCGGCGACCGGCGCACGGGUGAGUAACACGUAUGCAAUCCACCUGUAACAGGGGGAUAACCCCGGAGAAAUCCGGACUAAUACCCCCAUAAUAUGGGCGCUCCGCAUGGAGAGUCCCAUUAAAGAGAGCAAUCUUGGUUACAGACGAGCAUGCGUCUGAUUAGCUUGUUGGCGGGGUAACGGCCCACCAAGGCGACGAUCAGUAGGGGUUCUGAGAGGAAGGCCCCCCACAUUGGAACUGAGACACGGUCCAAACUCCUACGGGAGGCAGCAGUGAGGAAUAUUGGUCAAUGGACGAGAGUCUGAACCAGCCAAGUAGCGUGCAGGAUGACGGCCCUAUGGGUUGUAAACUGCUUUUAUAAGGGAAUAAAGUGAGUCUCGUGAGACUUUUUGCAUGUACCUUAUGAAUAAGGACCGGCUAAUUCCGUG